GGUUUAUUUUAUGGGUUUUUUUUUUUUGUUUUGUUUGCUUUUUUAAAGAAAAUCCCCAGCAGACACCGUCCAGCAGACAGGCGUGGCCAGGGCGUACGCGUCCCGGUGUUCAUUUCCAGGCAGCGCCUCGGGAUUCGCGACGUGAAUCAAGGUCCUGUUUGACAUGUAAACAGCAGCAAAAGCCAGUGUCUUUCUAAACACCGAGAGAUUAAAUGUCGCCGAACCUGAUGGGCCAGCGUACCGGGAUCCCCCCCGCCCCCCAAGAGGAUAGGUUCGCCUUUUGGAAGAUCCUUGCCGCUGGGAGCAGCUUCCCUGGGAAACCCCCCUGGGGAGCCGCGGUGUGACCCGGUGUCGGCGGACAGGGAUUUGCCUAUCCUGGAACUCUGCGAUGUCCCAGCAAGCCCCGAUUCCGGGACGUGUUGUAAUUUUAGAGUUUGCUAAUGAGCUUGCCUGUGUGCCCUGUACACAGUGUGUGCCUUGAGGAUUGGCAGUGCAGGCUGGUAAUCCUGCUCACCUGGCCCUGGCAGGUGGUGACAACUCCUUUAAUUGUUCUAGGAUUGAGAGCUGGCUUCUUGCUAUGCACAGAGCCUGGCGUGGACGAGUAAAAUGAGGGAGAAAAUUAUUUUUGCUAAUAAUUCUUUACCAUUCUGCCUUGAUGGUGGCUGUUGGCAUGCUCCCCUCUGCAAGCUCAGGCACCGUGCGGGACCUUUCAGCUGUGGGAUCCAAGGCUUAGGUUUGCUGGGACAUAAAACUGUGAUAAAACAUUUAUGUUCCAGUAAGCGACACUUCUCUGAUAGUUAUUUAAAGUCUCUGUCUGCAUUGUUCCAGAACUAUUUCCUUUUUCCUCUAAGCAACCUAGAGUAGGAAGCUGACGGUCCCUCAGGUAACCCGCUUUCACCUCGCUGGAAGCCUCGCCUGAUGUUGGAUUGGAGGCCAGCAGAACCCACAGAGGAUACUCCGAGUGCAGCAGACAGCAGAGAUGUGCAUUGCUGGAAUCCAGAGUGUUUCGUAAUUUGGCAGCCACUUGCUGAAAGCCCUGCAGAUACAAAACAACACUUAUUUCAAGUCUUGAGAAACAUCUACUAAGUAGAAGAAAAAAGCAUUUAGAGCGUGUUUCACGUCUAUAUGUGCUGACAAGAUCAGAAGUGCAGGGUGCCAGCGUGACUCUGACCGUGUUGAACAAUGCACACCAAUGCUUUCAGAAAUACAGUGGGAUCCUCAAGCUGUAUACAAAAGACAAGAAGGAGAUGACCCUAUUCAGUGUGAUGAUUUUUCUUUCGCUGCUACGUACGUAAAAGUGUCUGGAAAUCUAUUAUCCAAUGGACACAAAACCAGCUUUUUGACAGGCUGCUCUUCCUGCUAAAACCUGGUAAAUGCAGAGACCUGACUGUGUGAAAGAGCAAUUUAUAUUAGGAUUGGAAUUCACUUCAGGCUUUACUGCUAUUUGUCAGCACUCAGGAAACCCAUCCCUAGCUCUAGGAGAACACUCAAUCCCUGCUGACAGCCUGGAAGAGGAAGAGAAAAUAGCAGAGCUGCAGCUAUUAAGACCAACAGGCAAAUAUUUUAUUCAAACUCAACUUUUUCUUCCCAGGUUACUUUUAAAGAAUAUUUUUCUGUUUGUGGGAAUGUGAAUGUGGGUUGUUUGUUUGUUUGUUUUCCUGGGGACUCUCCUAUUCAGCUGAUCUUCAUCUUCUCCCACCUUUCAGACAGCAGAGCUUGCAGCAGUGACAAGAUGUAAUCCCAAGUAAAACUGCCUCUGCCUGUGGCCUUGGUUAACCUGCUGGCAAUGAUACGUGCCUGGGCACAGAGCAACUGUUUUACACAGCUCAGCAUGGACGUGCUGCCACUCCCAGUCACUUUUAGGACCCAAUUGAGUUGUUUACAGCAAUCUCAAAAAAAACUUGUAAUAAAAAUUGUUGUGCCUUCCUGAAGCCACCACUCCCAGAGACCUUUCCCCUUUCUUGUAUAUUGUGGGAGCCUCCUUCCUUCAGCUUCACACCUUUAUCAGCUGAAAAUGAUCCAGUACAGAACUGGUUGUUGUCAGGCUCUCCCUUAGAAAGAUGGGCUACGCUGCCACUCUGUUGUGACUGUUGAGAACGGGAAGAUCAGAGAGGAACGCAGGGAAGUGGAAGCCUGCACCCUCUUUUGUGUGGAACAGUCAGUAUAUGCCCUUGUAUAAAGUUCAGCAUAGGAAAACUUGGGCUGCACUUGCAUUCCUACAUACCAUGCCAUACCAGUCAGCCUGGUACUAAUCUUCACGGACCUUUGAAGGCAUGAAACAACAUGCAGUGUAAAUGAAAUCUAAGCCACACCAUACCAGAUUAUUGGUGCCAGCCAGUUUUAGAAGACUGACACAAGAGCCAAGUGAAACAGGUACAGGAGAUGCCUUGUACCACCUGCAGGCACACAGACCCACAGCACUUGUGCAGCAUCCGAGUCCAAAAGCAGUGUGCGGCAUGUAAAGAGCUGGUGAACCCAGGGCCACUUAGACUUGAAUGCACUUUCCUGGGGAGGAAGUGGCUUUUCCCUUGGAAAGCUCAACUCCCCAGGGUCUGAAUGAGGUCAAUGGAAAAAGUGAUUUUUUCAGAAUAUGAUUCAGAGUGCCUAAGCAUAGUCUUAUCUUAUUGACUACAGACAAAGCUCAACCUCUGUAGAUUUAAACUAGCUUUUGUGAAUACCCAUCCCCUCUUGCCCCUUAAUUGUGGGAGUUACACUAGUCCUGGACAUGGUUAGUCCUUGGUAGGCCCACUGCCUACUGAAAUUCAGGUGCUGCAAACAUCAGCUCGGAGAAGCACAGAAUUUCCUGUUGGAUCCUGCUUUGUCCUUUUGAGUUACCCUGCGAUGUCAGAAAUGGAUUUGCAAGUACCAGAAGAAUGAAGUCAAGAAAGGUUGAUUUCUUUAGGGAUGCCCUGAUUGGAGCUAGAAUAAUCAGCAUCUAUUUCAGUUUAACUGAGUUUUUCAUUCUGGCCUUUCUCCCCUUUCAAAGUACAGGCAACUGAAGCCUUUAAUUUGCUCUGUCUUUUCACUGCAGAGAAAAGUAGGAGUUUCUAAGAGCUGAUACUAUCCUGCGUAGAAUAGCUACACUAAAAAAAUACAGUUUAUUGUCUGUUGUGAAUGAAAAAGCUCUUGCUUUUUUGUUUGUUGUGUUGACUUUGAAAGAUAAAUUGUUUGAACUGGUUGACUCUCUAUUUGUAUAACUGAAGAUUAGCUUCUUGAUAGCCUGCUGGAUUUGCAGUUUUCUCUUGAACUAAAUAAACUGAAGAACUGCUGGCCCAGGGGCAGUUAGGACACAGUGCAUACUGGAAAAAGUUUGUGUGCAUAGAAGUAAGAGAAAAUAACUUCAUGCAUGACAUGUGUUAUGUGCUGUUUUAGUGUUGAUAUGUCCUGUCGUUCCAUCUGGAAGAGCUCCUAUAAGACCUAGGAAGCCCGCUUAAAAAAUUGCUAACAGACAGAGAUAGGUGGCUAAUGAGUUAAAAGUUGAAGCUGGCAGGACAAAAAUUGGUUUUUACACAAAGUUCUACAACCCUAAAUCAUGCUGCUUGUUUUUGAGAACAUAGGUACUUGGUCCUUUUAUCAUACAUUUGCUUUGUAGAAAAAAAAUGGAGAAAAAAGCAAAAAUAACUUCAAGUAAGCAGACCUGGCUCUGAACAUAUAAAAGGAACAGAGAGUAAAAAUAGCAACAUCUUACUGUGCUGAGUCCUUCAACAGAGAACCACAUUUUGAGGUUCCCCUUCUUUGCAUCCUCCUUUGUAUUGCAAAGGCACCUUGCCCCAAGCAGAAGCUUUUGCUCUGGGAAGGCAGUCUCUGUUUUCAAUGGGACAGAGCUUGGUGUCAGCCAUUCGAUUGCACUAUCAGCUUCUAGACAUUGACAAGGGCUCUGACUGUCCACGUGCAUCCUCCAGACAUGGUUUCUGUGCCUUCCUCUCUACUCUUCAGCUUCUGAGUUGUGCCAACUGGUCCAGCCUUCCCUGUCUUUGUAUACUCAUAAUAAAGGCAGUGGAGCCAAAGUGACAAUCAGGGAAGAUAUGAAAGAAUGACAAAGGCAUACACUAUUUUUGUGAUGGGUAUGAUGGUCACAAAAUGAAGUGGGCUUUGUUGUGCCAUCAGCCUUCAAAACAUGCUUCUCACUCCCAGAAUAGAGACCCAUUACAAACUUUGGCUAAGAGACUGAAGCCAAACUUCUGAUAAAGCAAUUAUUCAAAAGGAAAAGGGAUAGGAUAGGGCAGGAAGAUCUGAUAGACUGAGGUGUGGAUGAGAAGAUAAAAACCUAGGACAGGGAACUUGGAGAUUUGAGAGGGAUAGAGGGAAAUUGAGAUACACAAAGAAAGAGAAACAGGGAAUUAGAGGAGUUUUAUGCUGAGACUGGCUGGUAAGGAACUGGCAGAAUUCAGUUUGCCAGUACAAGAAACAAGAAGGAAAAGUGAAGGAAGUCAGGGGGAUAGGCAGUGACAUGAAGAACCAGGUAAGAGACUGAACUAGGACCUGGCAUAGGGAACCAAAGUUGGAGACCCUAUUGGAAGUUAAGAAAGGAGAGGCAGCCUGGGGAAGGAACAAGCGAUCCAACUCUGAAAGUGGAGGCCAGGCACAGGCAAAAGGGAAGGGAAUGGAGUAGCAGGGAAGAGCUGUGGGAAGCAGCCCCGCACAGGGCAGAGCAGAGGGGUAUGUGGGUGGAAAGGGGCCCAACGGGCUGUGCUCGCUGGGACAUCCUGACUUGCAGAGCUGGAAGUGGAACAGAGCUUCCCUGAGGCUGGCCUUCAUAUUGCCUCAGCCAGCAAAGAAUUUGCUUCUUGUGCUGUCUGCCCCAGCCUGUGGUACAGAAACGACUGGAGCCGAGUGUCCUUGGAUGAGGCAGCGGCAGCUGCCUGCCUGGGGGAGGAGAGCAGGCUUUCUUGUAGUUACAUGACAAAAAUUUUACAGUUGGGAGGAGGUAGUGAAAAGGCCACAUGACCAAGAGAGAAAGGGUCAAUUCAUUAGUCUGGCAGCCACUAAAUUAAGAAAAGGCAAGUGGGACCAUUAUAUCAGAGGUAUCUGAAUUCAGUCAAAGAUGGUUCUGAAGUUGCUAGAUUGAUCUUGUGGUCAGCUUAAGCAAGUUUAACUAAUUAAUUGCAUAAUUUUAGCUCAUUGUGUAAGAGCUAGCUCUUAAUAAAUCACACUGCUUUGUAGAAAUAUGCUUGAAACAACUGUGUAAAUACUGAAUAGCCUUAGGAGUGGUCUUAUGAAUCCACUGAAUAAUCCAAAUUCCAACAGUCAUCCCCCUCCACUGCUGAUUUAGAUGGAGGAUAGCAGUCCUGUGCUGCUGCUUCUCUUUGAGUAAAAGGGACAGAAGUCUGUGUUGGGCACACAAAGGUGUCAGCACGGCUGAUGACCCACAGAGGUGCUGUGAUGCUGCAUGAUCUUGCACUGACAGUUGUCCUUUUCAGGAACACAGGAAAUGCUACCGGUAUUACAGCAGCAUUAGGAAGCUUGCAAAGCCAAGCCUUUAAAAGUUAGGCAAUGUUCAAAUGCAAUUGACAGUGAAACCUUAAUUCAGAACCUUAAUUUAUUUCAAUGUAGAUGGCAGUAAUUCAAGGUCCUUGCACAGUCCUGUGGGUUUUCUGGGGCAAUGAAGACUGAGGAACCUCUGACUUGCUAUCUGUGGAGUUAAGGAGAGGUACUCAGUCACAGUACCACAUGGUUCAAAAUAGGGACAUGUCAGCACAGUCUCCUGGCCCUAAGAGACCCCUAACUAAUAAUUGUAAGGGUUGUGACUCUUAUACUUGCCUUCUGCACCGGGACCAGUCUGCACCAAUGAGAUCUGGGGACAAACAGUACUGAUGGAAACCAGGAGUCUGAGAGCCAAGCUUUCCAGCAUCCAGUAGGAGGGUAUAAAAUUAACUACUCCAUUUGUGCAGAUUAAAAACAAAUCUUGUGCGUAUGAAUUCUGCCUUUGCAAAAAUGUCUGUUAGUUCUGAUUGUUGGCACGAGUAUUACCACAGUAUUGGUCUAAUCUCAUUUGACAUAUUUAAGGGAUUGCAGCAGAAGGGUGGAGUUACCACUGUAAAUUUCUUGGCUGAUUCCUCAUAUAGUGACAAUUGUCCUGCUCUGCUUUAUAUCAGCUUUUCAGUUUUAAGUUUUGUCAUGAAAAGAGCAAAUCAGGGUUUUUGAGUAUAAAGCAAUUUUUUUUUUAGAUUUCAAAUCAUAAUUUUGAAAGCAACGAUAGUAGAAACAGAAACAGAAUCUCUGAAAGAACCAGAGUAACAUGUAUCCUUUGUAAAUACUUCAGUGCUAAGGCAACUGGGCAGUGGCACUUUGCACACAAAGAGCCUGAGAAAUGUAAAGGUACA